GACGAACGCUGGCGGCGUGCCUAACACAUGCAAGUCGAACGAAAAGAUCCGGCGUUUGUGGCGUGCUCGAUUGGCGAACGGGUGAGUAACACGUGAGUAACCUGCACUUGACUUUGUGGGAUCUUCACGGAACACCGGCUAAUACCCCGUAUGAGCUUCUGCACCGCGGGGUUCGUUGGUGAAAGUUGGCGUUUGUGGAAGUACUGGAGGGAUAUCCGCCUGUUUGUGGGGUUGGGGAUUACCAAGGUUAUGACGGGUAGCCGGCCUGAGCGGGUGACCGGCCACAUUGGGACUGAGGUACGGCCCAGACUCCUACGGGAGGCAGAAGUGGGGAAUAUUGCACAAUGGGCGGAAGCCUGAUGCAGCAACGCCGCGUGCGGGAUGACGGCCUUCGGGUUGUAAACCGCUUUCGCCUGUGACGAAGCGUGAGUGACGGUAAUGGGUAAAGAAGCACCGGCUAACUACGUG
rnacentral:rRNA from 1 species